rnacentral:rRNA from 1 species
UACGAAGGGGGCUAGCGUUGUUCGGAUUUACUGGGCGUAAAGCGCACGUAGGCGGAUCGUUAAGUCGGGGGUGAAAUCCUGGAGCUCAACUCCAGAACUGCCUUCGAUACUGGCGAUCUAGAGUCCGGAAGAGGUGAGUGGAACUCCUAGUGUAGAGGUGGAAUUCGUAGAUAUUAGGAAGAACACCAGUGGCGAAGGCGGCUCACUGGACCGGUACUGACGCUGAUGCGCGAAAGCGUGGGGAGCAAGCGGG